UUGGUCUCGUCAGAAGCAGACAUCUUGGCAUUUCUUUUUUUCAUAUUGACUAAAUUAUAUGGUUUGACCAAGACAGGACUGAAUAUCAGUGAGUAGAGUUCAAUCAACUUCACAUGUUUUGUAUAUAUUUGGAGUUAUGGAUCUAAAACACAUACAGAGCUGUGAUAAUACUGAUAUUGAAAAUAUUUAUCAACAAGACAACAUAUUGUUUGUGUUCACUAUCAUAUUAUAAACGAACCCCACUACAGUUUUUGUU